rnacentral:rRNA from 1 species
AGAGUUUGAUCCUGGCUCAGAACAAACGCUGGCGGCGUGCCUAACACAUGCAAGUCGUACGAGAAAGUCGGCUUCGGCCGAUGAGUACAGUGGCGCACGGGUGAGUAACGCGUGGGUAAUCUCCCUUGGUGAUCGGGAUAACAGCGGGAAACUGCUGCUAAUACCGGAUAAUCUUCAUGUUUAACUUCAUGGGGUAAAGGUGGCCUCUGCUUGCAAGCUACCACAUCAAGAUGAGCCCGCGUCUCAUUAGCUAGUUGGUAGGGUAAUGGCCUACCAAGGCUACGAUGAGUAGCUGGUCUGAGAGGAUGACCAGCCACACUGGGACUGGAACACGGCCCAGACUCCUACGGGAGGCAGCAGUGGGGAAUAUUGCGCAAUGGGCGAAAGCCUGACGCAGCGACGCCUCGUGAGGGAUGAAGGUCUUCGGAUCGUAAACCUCUGUCAAGAGGGAAGAAACCCUUGGAUUCGAAUAGGGUCCUUGGCUGACGGUACCU